rnacentral:rRNA from 1 species
UAGAGUUUGAUCAUGGCUCAGAACGAACGCUGGCGGCAUGCCUAACACAUGCAAGUCGAACGAGAAAGCCGCUUCGGCGGCGAGUAGAGUGGCGCACGGGUGAGUAACGCGUGGACAACCUGCCCUUUAGUUUGGGACAACUCUUCGAAAGGGGAGCUAAUACCGGAUAAAACCUUUGGUCACAAGGCCAUUGGUUGAAAGCUUUAGUGCUGGAGGAGGGGUCCGCGUCCCAUUAGCUGGUUGGUGGGGUAAGGGCCCACCAAGGCGACGAUGGGUAGCGGGUCUGAGAGGACGAUCCGCCACACUGGAACUGAGACACGGUCCAGACUCCUACGGGAGGCAGCAGUGGGGAAUAUUGCGUAAUGGGCGAAAGCCUGACGCAGCAAUGCCGCGUGAGUGAAGAAGGCCUUCGGGUCGUAAAGCUCUUUUAUCGGGGAAGAUGAUGACGGUACCCGAUGAAUAAGCACCGGCUAACUACGUGCCAGCAGCCGCGGUAACACGUAGGGUGCGAGCGUUGUUCGGAAUUACUGGGCGUAAAGGGCGUGCAGGCGGAAUGGCAAGCCGGAGGUGAAAGCCCGGGGCUCAACCCCGGAGGGUCUUUCGGAACUGCCAAUCUUGAGAGGGUCAGGGGUCAGCGGAAUUCCUGGUGUAGAGGUGAAAUUCGUAGAUAUCAGGAGGAACACCGGCGGCGAAAGCGGCUGGCUGGGGCCACUCUGACGCUGAGGCGCGAAAGCGUGGGGAGCAAACAGGAUUAGAUACCCUGGUAGUCCACGCCGUAAACGAUGGGCACUAAGCGUCCGGCGGGUUCGACCCUGCUGGGUGUUGCAGUUAACGCGUUAAGUGCCCCGCCUGGGGAGUACGGUCGCAAGACUAAAACUCAAAGGAAUUGACGGGGGCCCGCACAAGCGGUGGAGCAUGUGGUUUAAUUCGACGCAACGCGAAGAACCUUACCUGGGUUUGACAUCCCCGGCCCGCCCUGGAGACAGGGAAUUCUCUUCGGAGACCGGGAGACAGGUGCUGCAUGGCUGUCGUCAGCUCGUGUCGUGAGAUGUUGGGCUAAGUCCCGCAACGAGCGCAACCCUUGCCCUCAGUUGCCAGCGGUUAAAGCCGGGCACUCUGGGGGGACUGCCGGUGACAAGCCGGAGGAAGGUGGGGAUGACGUCAAGUCCUCAUGGCCUUUAUAUCCAGGGCUACACACGUGUUACAAUGGGGGUCACAAAGGGCAGCGAAACGGCGACGUGGAGCGAAUCCCAAAAAAACCCUCUCAGUUCGGAUUGCAGUCUGCAACUCGACUGCAUGAAGCUGGAAUCGCUAGUAAUCGCGGAUCAGCACGCCGCGGUGAAUACGUUCCCGGGCCUUGUACACACCGCCCGUCACACCAUGGGAGUUGACAGGGGCAGAAGCCGCCGGGCCAACCUUCGGGAGGCAGGCGUCCAAGCUCCGGUUGAUGACUGGGGUGAAGUCGUAACAAGGUA